rnacentral:rRNA from 1 species
GAUGAACGCUGGCGGCGUGCCUAAUACAUGCGAGUCGAGCGAACGGACGAGAAGCUUGCUUUUCUGAUGUUAGCGGCGGACGGGUGAGUAACACGUGGAUAACCUACCUAUAAGACUGGGAUAACUUCGGGAAACCGGAGCUAAUACCGGAUAAUAUUUUGAACCGCAUGGUUCAAAAGUGAAAGACGGUCUUGCUGUCACUUAUAGAUGGAUCCGCGCUGCAUUAGCUAGUUGGUAAGGUAACGGCUUACCAAGGCAACGAUGCAUAGCCGACCUGAGAGGGUGAUCGGCCACACUGGAACUGAGACACGGUCCAGACUCCUACGGGGGGCAGCAGUAGGGAAUCUUCCGCAAUGGGCGAAAGCCUGACGGAGCAACGCCGCGUGAGUGAUGAAGGUCUUCGGAUCGUAAAACUCUGUUAUUAGGGAAGAACAUAUGUGUAAGUAACUGUGCACAUCUUGACGGUACCUAAUCAGAAAGCCACGGCUAACUACGUG